GAGAGGAGCCAGAUGCCAAAUAAUAGUAGCUUUUACAGAAUGCUUUAUUAUUUUCUCAAUUCAUUUUCUACUCUUUCAUCCUAUCCCUUAACACUUCCCGAGAUAGGAAGAACAGGUAACAGCAGCUCAGUAUUACACACGGAGUAAGUGAGAAGACGCGGCCCCCUGCGGCACGCACCUUCUAAGUGAUGGAGUCCAGGUGGGGAGAGGUGGGCUUGGUUUCAGAGGAGAAAAUAUAAACCUGUGUCAAAAGUGAAAUUGGAUCCUAGAAGUAACUGUUAGGGGACUUGUCUUCUCGCCAUACACAACUAGAAAACUGCAUAAAAAUACAUGAAACAAAGCUUUUUGAGACAUUGGACAAGAGGCAACCCAAGACUGUGAUAUUGAAAGAAAGAAACAAAUGAAAUGAGCCAUGAGUGUUGCAACUUUCUACCUAGAAGUAAUUUCCAGCCACAGCGCAGGGAGAAGAAACAUAAAGAGUCUGGAGAUCUUGCGAGUUGAGGAGACAAAAAUUGAAGUUUGUGGAGAGUGAGGCAGCUGAAAAUUGCAGGAUGGGGUCCCCAAGAGGAGUCAUGAAGACAGAGAGGUUUAGAAAUCUGCAGGAAGGGUCCCUUGAGAAUCCAGCUGAGUAGCAUGAAACUCCUGCAGACCAGGUGAAGAAUGGCCACAGAGCUGCGAGCAGAACACUCCCCAGGACUUCACACACGCCAUGAAGCAUUUAAGUUCCCAUCAGCCGGAGUGGGGAGAUCUCACUGGAGAAAUAAGGUGUUCAAUAGAGAUGGAGAAAAACCGAGAAGGUAUCAGCUACAGUCCAAUCAGGAGACACAAACCACCCAGUAAUUUGAACAGCAAAGUUUAAUAUAAAGAAUUAUUAACUAUAGCAGGCACUCUGAGAUCUACGGUGAAGAAAUUGCAUUACCUGCAGAGAUCACGAAGCUAGCUGGCUGUGAAGCUGCUGCCUGAAUCCUGGCGCCUGGUCGAGUCAGCUCGUGGGUCCUCACCACCGCGCCUCUGAGUCAUGUUAUGCGUUCUCAGCCAGUGGUUCUCAG
rnacentral:lncRNA from 1 species